CCGGGCGGGGCGGGGGCACGGGGGGAACGCGAAGAACCUUACCAAAUCUUGACAUCCUUUGACAACUCUAGAGAUAGAGCCUUCCCCUUCGGGGGACAAAGUGACAGGUGGUGCAUGGUUGUCGUCAGCUCGUGUCGUGAGAUGUUGGGUUAAGUCCCGCAACGAGCGCAACCCUUAAGCUUAGUUGCCAUCAUUAAGUUGGGCACUCUAAGUUGACUGCCGGUGACAAACCGGAGGAAGGUGGGGAUGACGUCAAAUCAUCAUGCCCCUUAUGAUUUGGGCUACACACGUGCUACAAUGGACAAUACAAAGGGCAGCGAAACCGCGAGGUCAAGCAAAUCCCAUAAAGUUGUUCUCAGUUCGGAUUGUAGUCUGCAACUCCGACU
rnacentral:rRNA from 1 species